rnacentral:rRNA from 1 species
UAGUCUGCAACUCGACUACAUGAAGCUGGAAUCGCUAGUAAUCGCGAAUCAGAAUGUCGCGGUGAAUACGUUCCCGGGUCUUGUACACACCGCCCGUCACACCAUGGGAGUCAGUAACGCCCGAAGCCGGUGACCCAACCGACAAGGAGGGAGCCGUCGAAGGUGGGACCGAUAACUGGGGUGAAGUCGUAACAAGGUAAC